rnacentral:lncRNA from 1 species
ACCCGUCUCAUGUGCUCCGGGUAAUAGUUAGCUUCCUUAAGUGUUAUAAUUAAAAUACCUCAUGUUAACAAAGUAGUACGAUAGCUCCCCGGGAGUUCCCACGUGCCUGCACAUGAUGAAAACUAUGUUGGUAGGGACAUCUGAGAGGGUGAUGAAUACCAACAUAUCUGAGCUGGGCAUGGAAUGGGUUGUGGUGGUGUGUCUGGUGUGGCUGAAAUGCGGCACAGUCCUUCCUGAGCAGCCGACCGAAGUUCAUGGCUGCCCGGCUGGCCUGGUGAUUGGGGACUGAAGGUCUACACAAAUGACCAACUUCAUCAGUUUUCAUCCUGCUUAAAAAUACAGGCUAGCAAAUAUUUUUGUGGCCUUGUCUCUCAAAAGACCUGAAGUGUAGAUGGCAUCAGGGAGAGCUUUGCUGUGAGGCUCAGAGUAUUAUUUUGAAUUUUACUUGCAUUUUUCAAAAGAGAAUGUGUGAACAUAACAUCUUCAUUCUUCAAAGCAGAAAAACUAAUGGAUGCUCUCUCCUUUUCAGUUUAAGAUGCAUCAAAUGCACUUCCCUCUUACGGCUUCAAACCAGAUCUGCCACUGAAUAUGAGGACUUGAUGCUGCUUCACAAGGCUUUGAAUCAUGUGCUUGGAAGACUUGGACAAGAAACAUCAACUGGUAAGAAAUGUGUGGUCUAUUUAGGGGUUUCUUCCAUGGAGCUGCUGAAACAGUGCAGUGGAAAGGGUGGGGUGUGUUAA